CGGCGGCGGCGGCGGCGGCCGGGCGCCCGCGCGGCCGCCCGCCGCUGCAGCCGCGCGCGCCCCAGCAGGGCGAUGUUGUUAACCUCGCCGACUCCGACUAGGAACCAGAGGGUCCCCAAAGUGUAUAGUGAACAGAUGUGUACAGUGAACGAUAUAUAGGUGCUAUGGUGUAUGGAUCGACGCGAGCGCCGCCACCGCCGCGCCGCGAGCCAAAUGUGGAGUCAUACCGCACGUGUACAUACCGCGGCCCCGUCUCCGGACCCCGGGCUGUCCGCCCUCUACGGACACAACCGACAUUCCGCCUUCAGGCUUUACGCUCCACUACAUAUCAAGAAUCUCAUUUUCUACCCUCAAUAUUAUUUUAACUCGUAAAAUAUAGACAAAAGGCGGAAAGACGCAAUAUAUCGUUGGUUUUAACAGCUGAACUAGAAAGCAUUGAAUUUCGAUAACAUUUAAAAUAUGCAGCACAUAGUUCAGGUGUUGUAAUCGCUGUUAUUUGUCUAUAUUAACUAAUAUACUUCGUCUCUCCCAUGGGCUACGGUCGCAUAUCUCGUUUCCACUUUUUCUUUACACGAAGCUAGAGCCUAAGGCGUUGACUGUUUAGACUGGAUUUGUAAGUCGUGCUCAAAUUGAAACGUGACGAUUUCUCCGGGACUGGAUUUAAAUUAUUACUAAUACGGUUCUCUUUCGUGUAAACGCAACAUUCCUGAACAAUAGUAGAUCUGCUUUUAUACUCAUUGUCGUGUUUAAGCGUAUUGGGUUGCGUUGAAGCGAACUGCGACCUUAGGAAGGGCCGCUUGCAUCGAAUAGCAUUUAUAUGAGUGUAUCUUGCUGACUUUCAGCUUGCGAAUCAACUGAAAUUUUAAUUAAACAUAGUUGAUAUUACUAGUUAUAGUAUUUUUAAUAUUACGCCGCGAUGCUGGCGGACCUUUGCGCGUUAAAUUAUUCAAUAACAUCGAUGUUGAAAAGCCACUCGAAGGAAUGAGUGUGACACUAAUACUUUAAAAUAUAUCUCUCAGUACAGGAAAAUAGUAUUAAGCUGUGUUAUAUGUCAGUAGUUAAUUACUUCAGUGUUUAACAUCAUACCACUAUCCUAAAGAGGGUGUAUGAGAAAUCUUUAAUAUGUGCACAAUUAAAAUACACACUUACCCCUUAGUCUUACGAACUACUGAUUAGUAAGGAAACACCAAUUUGAGGAAAGAACUAUUUUUUAUUUUAGAGUAGGAGGACAAAAGCUUGCCAACAUUUUUGUUUUCGCAAAUAAAUUGACAUCUAGCGCUGGUUUACUACAUGUACUAUGAGUAGAUUUGAUGUUUUAUACAAUAUGUUGAUAUAUGAGUUUGAAUACAAGUCCACACUAUGACUUAUCUGAGCAGCCCCAGUAUUAAAUGAAAACUUUUUUGCUGCGACUACUAUCUUUUAAACAAUCAUAUAUUUGACUGAUUAUAAUUACUUGUAGUACUUUCUUUAAUAAAACAGCACAUUGCAGCAAAAUUUAUAAAUGGAUCCCUAAUUCAAAUUGACAUACUUAAUAUAAUAGUAAUUAAUUGAAUUUUAGACAUUUUUUGGCAUUGGCUUUUGAGUUUGGUGAAGAUUUGACGAUUAAUAUUGUACUUGGUGACAAUGGUGUAGCAGUAUAAGGUUUGGCAGAAAUUAAGACCACUGAGAGUAGAAUAAAUAUUGUUGUCCCAACCUUAUGCUGCCCUACCACAUGUCUUGCAUGUCCUAAAACAUGACAUUUCGUAGUUAAUUUAUUUGACCUGCAGCGAGCAGGUGAUUUAGUUGUGAUAUUGCCUAAUAUAAUGUUUUUGUAUACGUUUAUUUUAAUGAGUCACCAUCGUGACUUUAAUGUUAGGUUCAGCAAUUAUAGAUAUAUCUAAUGUAGGGCUAAAUAAUGUACCUAUUCACAGUGUGACAGGUGUAGUAGUGUUUUAUUUGAGAGCCGCUAAAAAUAUACUUUUGAAACAUUCUGAAUGUUGAUUUUUAUAUGGUUUAGAUUUUUUUACAGAAUAUUUUAUGCUUACAAUAAUAAUUUAUAGUUACACAAAUAUGAUAGGAAAUGAGCAGUAUUCAGUAAUUUAUAAUUUAUAUUAGUUUCCAUGUCUUGCAUCCUGUAGGGAGUAUUGUUUUGUAUUUGUAUGAUUACUUGUUCUUAUCUGGACCUUGAGCUGAAUGAGGACUGCUGUAAUUGUUUCACUAUUUAUGUAAUAUAUAAUUGUAACUGUAGAAAACUUCCUAUUAUUUUGUAGUACAAUCUAUAAUAAAGAAUUCAGAAAUGU